AUUAAUACAAGAUGGCAUCAUGAGUCCGCAUGUUCACAUGAUUAAAGGUAUUCCGGUAGACGAUGGGGAUGCGUUCCAUUAGAUAGUAGGCGGGGUAACGGCCCACCUAGUCUUCGAUGGAUAGGGGUUCUGAGAGGAAGGUCCCCCACAUUGGAACUGAGACACGGUCCAAACUCCUACGGGAGGCAGCAGUGAGGAAUAUUGGUCAAUGGGCGAGAGCCUGAACCAGCCAAGUAGCGUGAAGGAUGACUGCCCUAUGGGUUGUAAACUUCUUUUAUAAAGGAAUAAAGUCGGGUAUGCAUACCCGUUUGCAUGUACUUUAUGAAUAAGGAUCGGCUAACUCCGUGCCAGCAGCCGCGGUAAUACGGAGGAUCCGAGCGUUAUCCGGAUUUAUUGGGUUUAAAGGGAGCGUAGAUGGAUGUUUAAGUCAGUUGUGAAAGUUUGCGGCUCAACCGUAAAAUUGCAGUUGAUACUGGAUAUCUUGAGUGCAGUUGAGGCAGGCGGAAUUCGUGGUGUAGCGGUGAAAUGCUUAGAUAUCACGAAGAACUCCGAUUGCGAAGGCAGCCUGCUAAGCUGCAACUGACAUUGAGGCUCGAAAGUGUGGGUAUCAAACAGGAUUAGAUACCCUGGUAGUCCACACGGUAAACGAUGAAUACUCGCUGUUUGCGAUAUACUGCAAGCGGCCAAGCGAAAGCGUUAAGUAUUCCACCUGGGGAGUACGCCGGCAACGGUGAAACUCAAAGGAAUUGACGGGGGCCCGCACAAGCGGAGGAACAUGUGGUUUAAUUCGAUGAUACGCGAGGAACUUUACCCGGGCUUAAAUUGCAGAUGAAUUACGGUGAAAGCCGUAAGCCGCAAGGCAUCUGUGAAGGUGCUGCAUGGUUGUCGUCAGCUCGUGCCGUGAGGUGUCGGCUUAAGUGCCAUAACGAGCGCAACCCUUGUUGUCAGUUACUAACAGGUUCCGCUGAGGACUCUGACAAGACUGCCAUCGUAAGAUGUGAGGAAGGUGGGGAUGACGUCAAAUCAGCACGGCCCUUACGUCCGGGGCUACACACGUGUUACAAUGGGGGGUACAGAGGGCCGCUACCACGCGAGUGGAUGCCAAUCCCAAAAACCUCUCUCAGUUCGGACUGGAGUCUGCAACCCGACUCCACGAAGCUGGAUUCGCUAGUAAUCGCGCAUCAGCCACGGCGCGGUGAAUACGUUCCCGGGCCUUGUACACACCGCCCGUCAAGCCAUGGGAGCCGGGGGUACCUGAAGUGCGUAGCCGCGAGGAGCGCCCUAGGGUAAAACUGGUGACUGGGGCUAAGUCGUAACAAGGUAA
rnacentral:rRNA from 1 species